rnacentral:rRNA from 1 species
GACGAACGCUGGCGGCGUGCUUAACACAUGCAAGUCGAACGGAAAGGCCCUGCUUUUGUGGGGUGCUCGAGUGGCGAACGGGUGAGUAACACGUGAGUAACCUGCCCUUGACUUUGGGAUAACUUCAGGAAACUGGGGCUAAUACCGGAUAGGAGCUCCUGCUGCAUGGUGGGGGUUGGAAAGUUUCGGCGGUUGGGGAUGGACUCGCGGCUUAUCAGCUUGUUGGUGGGGUAGUGGCUUACCAAGGCUUUGACGGGUAGCCGGCCUGAGAGGGUGACCGGCCACAGUGGGACUGAGAUGCGGCCCAGACUCCUACGGGAGGCAGCAGUGGGGAAUAGUGCACAAUGGGCGGAAGCCUGAUGCAGCAACGCCGCGUGCGGGAUGACUGCCUUCGGGUUGUAAACCGCUUUCGCCUGUGACGAAGCGUGAGUGACGGUAAUGGGUAAAGAAGCACCGGCUAACUACGUG